GACGAACGCUGGCGGCGUGCUUAACACAUGCAAGUCGAACGGAAAGGCCCUGCUUUUGUGGGGUGCUCGAGUGUCGAACGGGUGAGUAACACGUGAGUAACCUGCCCUUGACUUUGGGAUAACUUCAGGAAACUGGGGCUAAUACCGGAUAGGAGCUCCUGCUGCAUGGUGGGGGUUGGAAAGUUUCGGCGGUUGGGGAUGGACUCGCGGCUUAUCAGCUUGUUGGUGGGGUAGUGGCUUACCAAGGCUUUGACGGGUAGCCGGCCUGAGAGGGUGACCGGCCACAUUGGGACUGAGAUACGGCCCAGAAUCCUACGGGAGGCAGCAGUGGGGAAUAUUGCACAAUGGGCGGAAGCCUGAUGCAGCAACGCCGCGUGCGGGAUGACGGCCUUCGGGUUGUAAACCGCUUUCGCCUGUGACGAAGCGUGAGUGACGGUAAUGGGUAAAGAAGCACCGGCUAACUACGUG
rnacentral:rRNA from 1 species